UGAUCAGAGUCUGGCCGAUAAUGGCCACCA
rnacentral:sRNA from 1 species